AGGCUAGGAUGACCGAUUACAUUUCUCAAUUCUAAUUUGGAUAUUGUGUAAAGGACUAAUUCCACAGCAAAAUUGUUUGCUUUGUAAUGAUUGUGUUUGUGUGUGUCUAAGCCUC